rnacentral:rRNA from 1 species
GACAGAGGGUGCAAACGUUUGUUCGGAAUUACUGGGCGUAAAGCGCGUGUAGGCUGCUUCGCAAGUCGGAUGUGAAAGCCCUGGGCUCAACCCAGGAAGUGCAUUCGAAACUGCAGAGCUGGAGUCCUGGAGAGGAAGGCGGAAUUCUCGGUGUAGAGGUGAAAUUCGUAGAUAUCGAGAGGAACACCGGUGGCGAAGGCGGCCUUCUGGACAGUGACUGA